UUUUCUCCUGAUUCUCCUGCAGAGGUCCAUCUACACGCUGGUUCUCCGAUCACCUUUGAUCAUCAGCCGGGAUAUGGUGCAGCAGCCGUGAAUAGUGCCAGUUGGCACACUACAUAUGCCAUCACAGGUGUUCAACUCUUUGUUCAACUCCAUAAGGAUCAUGACCACGUAUGGGAUCAAGACCAAGUAUGCACAAUCCAGAUGUACAGUUCAUCAAGAUCUCUGGGCAUCCUCUUCAGUAGUGGGAAUGAGUGUCCUAAGCAACUACACAGGUUUCACACUUCUAAGGCGACCAUGCUUUGGACCAUGACAACUGCACACAAUUUCUAGGCAACAUUAUUUUGUUAAGUGCAGAAAAUUUGGACUUUCUGGGUAAUGAAGAAUACGUAUACUGAGGGUGUGGGAAGAUGAAAGCCCUACACUAUGUUAAAUCUCAGAAAGCUAGGGGAACUUUGAACUGGUUCAUAAGAUGAAUUAUGCAUUUCAGCUGGAUCCUUUUGGUGCAGUCCCAGCUCUAUCAACGUGAGCAUCGGAGGAGAAUUCACAUCCAAUUCCCGCUGUCUGAAUUUAUCACCAGGAAGACAGGAUUAAUUACCAGAAAGAAGAAAAUGCUGACUCAGAAGAUCAAUUCAGGUCUCGAAUACUUACGUUGUCAAGGACUAAUAAAACAAGCCAUAGCCUCCGCCAAUGUAUGGAAAUGGAUUUGUCAGAUGUAUUCUCUUAAGUGAAUGUUAACUUAUCUUUAUUAAAUACCAUCAUACCGAGAGAGACUCCAUAUAGAAGAAAUAACUCUGGAAUAUGUUGUAGACCAGUGGUCCCCCAACCACUGACUUGGAAACCACGUAUGGCAUGCGACCCCCUACAGUACUGAGUUAUACAAUAAGCAGCUACAAUGUUUGAUUGAAAUGAUUGAAAAAUUUAUAGCCAAACAAGCAGAUUUCAUUGAAGGUUGAGUCUACCAACCAACCAUUGUCCCAAGCUGGCCAUUUACAUUAGAUGUCAUCUGAACAUUCUUAUAAACAACAAUUAUUGGUGUGGUCAAAUGUCUCUUUUUCAGUAGCAGGUGUGAUAAGCAGCUGCUAAACACCAUUCCCACUGCUUAGUUCAUGAUGAUAUGAAAGAUGAGAAAGGGUUCCUUCCAGUGAAUGU